rnacentral:rRNA from 1 species
AUACGGAGGGUGCAAGCGUUACUCGGAAUCACUGGGCGUAAAGCGCGCGCAGGCGGUUUUUUAAGUUGGAUGUGAAAUCCUAUAGCUUAACUAUAGAACUGCAUCCAAAACUAUUAGACUAGAGUCUGGGAGAGGUAAGUGGAAUUAGUUGUGUAGGGGUAAAAUCCGUAGAGAUAACUAGGAAUACCAAAAGCGAAGGCAACUUACUGGAACAGUACUGACGCUGAGGCGCGAAAGCGUGGGGAGCAAACAGGAUUAGAAACCCGAGUAGUCC